rnacentral:rRNA from 1 species
GAUGAACGCUGGCGGCGUGCCUAAUACAUGCAAGUCGAGCGAACGGACGAGAAGCUUGCUUCUCUGAUGUUAGCGGCGGACGGGUGAGUAACACGUGGAUAACCUACCUAUAAGACUGGGAUAACUUCGGGAAACCGGAGCUAAUACCGGAUAAUAUUUUGAACCGCAUGGUUCAAAAGUGAAAGACGGUCUUGCUGUCACUUAUAGAUGGAUCCGCGCUGCAUUAGCUAGUUGGUAAGGUAACGGCUUACCAAGGCAACGAUGCAUAGCCGACCUGAGAGGGUGAUCGGCCACACUGGAACUGAGACACGGUCCAGACUCCUACGGGAGGCAGCAGUAGGGAAUCUUCCGCAAUGGGCGAAAGCCUGACGGAGCAACGCCGCGUGAGUGAUGAAGGUCUUCGGAUCGUAAAACUCUGUUAUUAGGGGAGAACAUAUGUGUAAGUAACUGUGCACAUCUUGACGGUACCUAAGCAGAAAGCCACGGCUAACUACGU